rnacentral:rRNA from 1 species
GCCAGCAGCCAUAUCGCCCUGCAGCCCAAGACUGGUUUCCCACUGAAGAGAAGCAGGGUUGAGACCUCCUGGGAAAACUAGGUUGCUGCUGGAA